UUGACUUAAACAUAUCAACCAAGUAUUCCCCAAUCUACAUUAUAUGAAUGUUUAAUUUUUGAUGCUACAUUAAGAAAUAAGAGAGUUUUUUCGGGUAUUUAUUGAAUAGCCCCCUAACGAAGUGCCUAAAGAUUCAAAAGGACACAUAAGGAGUGUGUAAGAAACAAAAAUGCAAUGGUUUGGAUACCAAGUGUACACCGGUCCAUUUUGUAAGAAUCUUUCUCUGGCUGAAGGUAAGCCGAAUAACAGCGAAACAGUCGCCCGAGAGCCAGAUGUUUCCAUCCGCACCAUCAACUAGCAGAUCAGUUGCCUAGAGCCAGAUAUUUCCAUUCGCACCAUCAACUAGUGACAUAUUAAUUUGCUUGCAUGGCGUAUUAUUAAAUAAAAAAACUCUU
rnacentral:lncRNA from 1 species